ACCCGCUGAACUUAAGCAUAUCAAUAAGCGGAGGAAAAGAAACCAACAGGGAUUGCCCUAGUAACGGCGAGUGAAGCGGCAACAGCUCAAAUUUGAAAUCUGGCGUCUUUGGCGUCCGAGUUGUAAUUUGCAGAGGGCGCUUUGGCAUUGGCAGCGGUCCAAGUUCCUUGGAACAGGACGUCACAGAGGGUGAGAAUCCCGUACGUGGUCGCUAGCCUUUACCGUGUAAAGCCCCUUCGACGAGUCGAGUUGUUUGGGAAUGCAGCUCUAAAUGGGAGGUAAAUUUCUUCUAAAGCUAAAUACUGACCAGAGCCCGAUAGCGCACAAGUAGAGUGAUCGAAAGAUGAAAAGCACUUUGGAAAGAGAGUUAAAAAGCACGUGAAAUUGUUGAAAGGGAAGCGCUUGCAGCCAGACUUGCCUGUAGUUGCUCAUCCGGGUUUUUACCCGGUGCACUCUUCUAUAGGCAGGCCAGCAUCAGUUUGGGCGGUUGGAUAAAGGUCUCUGUCAUGUACCUCUCUUCGGGGAGAACUUAUAGGGGAGACGACAUGCAACCAGCCCGGACUGAGGUCCGCGCAUCUGCUAGGAUGCUGGCGUAAUGGCUGU
rnacentral:rRNA from 1 species